rnacentral:tRNA from 1 species
UCUAAUUAGUUUAUAAAAAAUUUUGAUUUGUGGAGUCAAAGAUAUACUUUUGUAUUUUAGAUAA